UGGGGAAUAUUGGGCAAUGGGCGCAAGCCUGACCCAGCAACGCCGCGUGAGGGAAGAAGGCUUUCGGGUUGUAAACCUCUGUCCUUGGUGACGAAAAAAAUGACGGUAGCCGAGGAGGAAGCCCCGGCUAACUACGUGCCAGCAGCCGCGGUAAUACGUAGGGGGCGAGCGUUGUCCGGAAUUACUGGGCGUAAAGGGUGCGUAGGUGGCCUUUUAAGUUGGAUGUGAAAUACCCGGGCUUAACUUGGGGGGUGCAUCUAAUACUGGGAGGCUAGAGUGCAGGAGAGGAAAGCGGAAUUCCUAGUGUAGCGGUGAAAUGCGUAGAUAUUAGGAGGAACACCAGUGGCGAAGGCGGCUUUCUGGACUGUAACUGACACUGAGGCACGAAAGCGUGGGGAGCAAACAG
rnacentral:rRNA from 1 species